rnacentral:tRNA from 1 species
GCCUGGGUGGCUCAGUCAGUUAAGCGGCUGACUUUGGCCCAGGUCAUGAUCUCACGUUUCGUGGGUUUGAGCCCCGCCUCGGGCU